AUGCCCGUCCCCGGCGCAAGAGGCCCUUCCCGGAAGAGGAGGAGGAAGAGGGUCAGAAGUGCAGAGAGGCGGAGGGCUUCCAAGGGAAGUCAAGGAGGCUUCCCCAUCUUUCCUGGAGAGGAAGGGGGUUGGCGCAGCCCCAGCAGAGAAAGGGGGAAAGGGGGUUCCACCAGAAACCAGAGGUCCCCGGGAGGCCCUGUGUCUAAAAGGGGCUGGGGGGAUUCUCCAAGCUCCAGUCCUCAAAGCCAGCUGGGUUGGGACCAGGGAGGAAGCUGUAAGGGAAGCAUGUGUAAGGCCUGGACUGGAAGUGAAGGCCUUGAAAUGCCUCAGAGCUCCAACGAAGACCUAGAAGACUCGGAGGGUUCCACUGGUUUCCUAGAGGAAUGGGGGCUCCUGGAAGGGCAGGUGGUUACCGAGAGCCUCCAGGAAGGUGGCCCUCCAAGCCGUCCCAAGAUAUAUAUGGAGCCUGAAAAGCAUGCCGCUGCCCCAGUAACAUGGGUGCCGCGGGAGGCAGUGGUGGACUUCUGGAAUCAAUGUCAGUCUGUGAUGAAGAAGAGGGUGCAGGAUUACCUCAUGUUCACCUGCCCUAGGCCCACCUUGCCGGACCAGUCUUGUGAGAUCCCGAAACUGAACCCGAGCGUCAGGGCCUUGCUAACUCCGAAAGAGGUGAAGGUGGAGUCAGCUGCAUCCUAUUACUUGCGUUCACUCCACGAGGAGGUGCUGAACGCUGUGGCGCCCGUCAUGACCAUCUAUGAGAUGGCGGAGGAAGCCAUAGAGAAGAAAGAGGCAGUGGAUCCGCUGGAGCUGCGCGAGUGGUCCCGGCGCAUCCUCCGCUACAUGGGGAGUAUCAGCCAGAGGCUGCUGCAGCAGCGAUGCUCGCACGUCCUGGGGAGAAUCAACCCCACGCUGAAGAGCAUGACCACCAAAAUGAGCGGUUCAAGUGGGACCGGCUUGUUGUUUGCAGAGGACAAAGUGGAAUUUCUGAAGGAGAUCAUCUUGCGCUUCCCAGAGUUGGAUGGUGAGCCCAGGACCACCAGCAUGAGAAACGAUUACGCAGCCCGCAGGCGUAAAGUUGCGGAUCGAAGACCAGACUUUGUGAAGUUUGGCGCUCACCCUUGGGUUAGUGGUGCUCAGCAGGAGCGGAUCUCAGGUGAGGCUGUUGCUAAGCCCCAGAGAUUUCUCUCCACCAGGUCUUGGAGAGUUUGAAUGACCCUGGUCUUUUUGUGUGAACAAUUCGUUACUCAGAAAGUCUCAUGAUUUUGGAACAGUACUUUUCAUUUUAAGCAUAGAUACCUUGACUAGUAGCCACUGGCAGUUUGUUUUUUUAGGGGGGUGACAUACGCCUUCCCCCUUCUUUUGUUUUCUUUUGCUUUUAAAGCACUGGAUAGCUCUGGCAGAACCUGGGCAGAACUCCAGGUUCUGCCCAGAACUCUGGCAGAACCUGGCUACAUCUUUGGGAGCAUGGGUCAUGAUAGCAGACAGCAAACCUUUCUUAGUGGCACAGUCCUUACUACCGUCUUAUUUUCAGCUUUUUAUAAAUAUGCAGAAAUGCUGUGAGCUUUAAGCAGAGGGUGAACUUUGAACAGAAGAAAAACUUCUGGGAAACUUCCAAAGCUCACUUCUGCUAAUUGUUUUCAAUUGUCUACUAGGUUGACGGUGACGGUAAGAGCUUUUCAAGUCCAUGGGUUUAUUGUAAAAGAUGAACCAGAGAAAGAAGCAGAAACAAAAGCUGGAAGUAUUGGGCAAAAGAAUGAUUUUAUAGCAAAGCUAGGGAUCAGUGGAAACUUUCAAAACCAGAAAAUUGUAGAUGGAAAGGAAUCUGAAAAAGAGAUGUUAAAUGCCCUAGAAAAAUUCUAUGACUUUACUAGUUUUAAGGCACAAGCUGAAAGGAUCAGGAAAGUGGAGUUUUGAUGGGGCACUGAGUUGCUUGAGUGAGAAAUCAACAGAACGAAUGAAUGACCCUGAGAACUGCAGCUGCAGAUUCAAGUACCAGGUGAAUGGGAAGGGCAUUAAGGAAGUCCCUCCCAGGAGCCAAUCAAGUUCAUGCUGGACUUGGGGUAGGGAGGCCCAUGUAGCCAGGGAACGUCGAUCCCCCAGAGACUUCUCAGUUUAGUGAAACGAGGAAGCUUCUGAACACUGCCUCUGUGAGAGAAAGGAAAGGCCAGCAAGAAUGUUGAACGACAAGCACACAUGUCUUGCAAUUUUUAAACAAAAAACAGCCGAGGGAAAGUAGUAAAGAAAAACAAUGAAGUAGGCGUUCAGCUCUUGAAUCUAACGGUGUCUCCCAACUAACUUCUUUCAGCCCACCAAUCGAAUGCAGCAGAAGCCCCGAGAGAGGAAGUCGUCAGCCUGGCACUCUGGCACCGCCGCUUUGCUCACCGAGAUUCCGAGACAAUCCUCAAGCUGCACAGGCGCCGGCUUGCGACGUGCCUUGAGGUAAAGGAAAGCGAUGCAAGCAGCGCAGCCGGGUGCGCUGUCUGUCUCAAAGUAAAAGGGCCCAGGCCCUCCUCUCCACCCGGGACCAAGAGAAGGAGCAGCGAGGUGCUGGAGUUAAUCCACACGGACGUGCAUGGGCCAAUGAGUGUGCCGUCCCUCGGGAACAACAGAUACAUCUUAAUAUUUGUGGAUGAUUUUUCGAGAUACCGUUUCAUCUUCCUCCUGAGGAAGAAGACGGAGAUACAUUACCUGCUCAAGAAGUAUGUAUCCAUUGUGAGGAAUAAAUUUAACAGGAAACCGAAGGCGUUUCA
ensembl:lncRNA